GUAGCGUUGGCUUAUCGGCUGAGCACCAGACUUUUAAUCUGGGGAGACAGGUUCGACUCCUGUACGCUGCA
rnacentral:tRNA from 1 species